rnacentral:rRNA from 1 species
UGAGAUGUUGGGUUAAGUCCCGUAACGAGCGCAACCCUUGUCCUUAGUUACCAGCACCUCGGGUGGGAACUCUAAGGAGACUGCCGGUGACAAACCGGAGGAAGGUGGGGAUGACGUCAAGUCAUCAUGGCCCUUACGGCCAGGGCUACACACGUGCUACAAUGGUCGGUACAAAGGGUUGCCAAACCGCGAGGUGGAGCUAAUCCCAUAAAACCGAUCGUAGUCCGGAUCGCAGUCUGCAACUCGACUGCGUGAAGUCGGAAUCGCUAGUAAUCGUGAAUCAGAAUGU